rnacentral:tRNA from 1 species
GCCCCUGUAGUUCAAUGGAUAGAACAACGGUUUCCUAAACCGUCGAUCCGGGUUCGAUUCCCGGCGGGGGUA